GACGAACGCUGGCGGCGUGCUUAACACAUGCAAGUCGAACGAUGAAGAAAAGAAUCGAAGCUUCGGCAGAAAUUCAUUUCGGAUUAGUGGCAGACGGGUGAGUAACGCGUGAGCAACCUACCUCUUACAAAGGGAUAGCCUCGGGAAACCGGGAUUAAUACCAUAUAACAUUGCGACGAAGCAUUUCGAUGCAAUCAAAGCUACAGCGGUAAGAGAUGGGCUCGCGUCCCAUUAACCGGAUGGUGAGGUAACGGCUCACCAUAGUGACGAUGGGUAACCGGCCUGAGAGGGUGAACGGUCACACUGGAACUGAGACACGGUCCAGACUCCUACGGGAGGCAGCAGUGGGGAAUAUUGCACAAUGGAGGGAACUCUGAUGCAGCGACGCCGCGUGAGUGAUGAAGGAAUUCGUUUCGUAAAACUCUGUUCUAUGGGAAGAAAAGGACUGUACCAUAGGAGAAAGCUCCGGCUAAAUACGUG
rnacentral:rRNA from 1 species